CGGAAUCGGAUUGGGCUCUAUCCGAUUGGUUAAUAUCCGAUAGGGUAGGGGCGUACUAGUAAUUUUAACAUACCAAUAACAGUGUCGAGGAGUCGAGAGAAGAGAAGAGAAGACAUUUCCCUUUUAUUUUUUUCUUCUCCUCACUAUGUUCUCAGUCUCGCUUCCCCCUCUCGAUUAAUCACUCAGUUCUCACUUCUCCAAUAAUUAAUCUCUCAAUCAGAUACGGAAAACGUGGACUGAAGUGAAGCUGAUGCAAUGAUACAACAUGCCAGGCGGCCAAGCAAGAUCACACUAAGUUUCACUACUCACUAGCGUGUUGACAUUGUUAGCCUCUGUGACCGUUAGACAUUGUUUUCUUCUUUUUUUAGCUUUAUUGUAGCCUGUUGUGUACUUUCUUUUGCAUUCUCUGGACUGGGAGUAAACUCUUUAACUCACAUUGUGCUUGUGUGGGUUUGUACUUUUCACAGAACAUUUUGAACUUAAAAAAGACAAAGACUUUGUUUUUUUCAA